UCCCGGAGAACUAGUGGUUAGGCCACAGCACUCUCACCACUGCAGCCGGGGUUCAAUUCCCGGCCAGGGAA